rnacentral:sRNA from 1 species
GGAGUGGAAAAGUCUUUGGAGAAGUUUUUGGGGGCCUAGCUGGCACGUGGGAUCCACUCUGCUCUCCAGGAAGCGUAUGCCAUCUUCUAGUUCGCAUUUCUGCACAAGGCAGUGGCAGGUGGCCCGAAGAGUGAGUGGGAAGCAAUAAUCAGCUCUCCAACGCUUCAGCAUGGAAGGGAUCUCAAAUGUCAUUCAGAAUGGCCUCCGCCACACCUUUGGAAAUUCAGGUGGAGAGAAACAGUAUUUGACUACAGUCAUUCCUUAUGAGAAAAAAAAUGGACCACCGUCUGUUGAAGAUCUUCAAAUAUUAACAAAAAUUCUUUGUGCCAUGAAGGAGGACAGUGAAAAAGUUCCGAGCUUGUUAACUGAUUAUAUUCUGAAAGUUCUGUGUCCUACAUAGAGCAGCAACUUUAUCUGCGGUGGGCUCCAAGCUAGAUUUCCUACAGCAUUAUUCUGAAAGCUGGCUACCGUUACCCUUCUUGCUAUUGGAAACUCAGCACAUUUGAACUUGGGUUUGAUUCAGUAUUAACAGAUCUUGACUACACUAAUUCUUUAUAUUAUAGAACCAACGGAAAUAUGGGCACUAUUUUGAAUUCUAGAGAUGGUUUUUGUUAAAUCUACUAAUAAACUGUUCUCUUAGUAGACUGAGAGAGAGUAAUAUUAAUUGUGCAUGUGCAGUUCUAUUUCUCAUUAACUGACAGUAUGCCCAUUUGUGUUUACGGCUUUCUUAUCUGAACUGCACUGAUGAGCUAGAUUAAAGGCUUGGGAGAUUUCUACUAU